GGAUGUGAGGGCGAUCUGGCUGCGACAUCUGUCACCGCAUUGAUUGCCAGGGUUGAUUUGGCUGAUCUGGCUGAUCUGGCUGGCUAGGCGGGUGUCCCCUUCCUCCCUCAUCGCUCCAUGUGUGUCCCUCCUGAAGCUGCGCGCUUGGUCAAAGAGGACGACCAUCCCCGAUAGAGGAGGACCGUUCUUCGGUCAAGGGUAUGUGAGUAGCUGCGCUCCCCUGCUAGAACCUCCCACAAGCUCUCAGAAGUAGCUGUGUUUCUAAUUUCAUUGGAGACAGUUUGAAAUAGAAGUAUUUGUUUUAUAGGUCAAAAAGCAAGUAACU
rnacentral:snRNA from 1 species